rnacentral:lncRNA from 1 species
UGGCUACAUUGGCUCUGGAGCUACCACAAAGGAACAUCUUGGGAAUGAGCAUUAUAAUUCAGGAUAACCAGGACUUUCAGAACCGUUGUUCCAUGGCAACAUCAAGGAGCCAUGGCUGCCAAUAUUCCCAAGAGAGAAUGAACUUUUGACUCUGGGCAUCAUACAAAGCCUCAAGCUGUUCCCUGUAGAGUGAAGAGCUUGGAUGGAGUUAAGGACUUCAGUGGUUCUUGCUAAUGCUUUCAGGCAGCUUCACCUGUAUUUGCAUCAUCCAGGCAGUCUGCGCCUGAGAAGCACACAGAACAGCUAAAGAUCACGGCUUGUUUUGAAUAUGCCAGCCAGGAUUCCUGGGAAUCUGAGUAUUGGAAUCAAUGUCUGACAAUUUUUUUUCUUUAAAUAACCCCCAACAGCUUUGCCACCACCAGUUGUCACCUGUGUGUUUUUAAGCCAUCGUGUCCUUGAAAGGAGUGCCAUCUCUUACGUAUCCUGUUUAUUUUCUCAGGUGAAAUGAUCUCACAAAAACAUCUUAACUUAAUGAAAUUACCAGCCUGUACCAAAAAGCUUUCUGUUUGAAUAGGGCAUUUCUUUACUUCCCAAGUAGCUUUGCAAUGAGAAAACUGAUGGUGAUAUAGCUGUUGACCUUAAAGAUGCAAUAUUUGUGAACUUUCUCAGGAGAAGGUUGUGCUAUUUACCUGGUCCUUCAGUGAAAUAUGAUGCUUCCUUACAGAGGUAGAAACGCUUUGGAUUUUAGAUCCACAAUGUGACAGGUUUCCUUACUUUCAUUGCCCACUGCCUGCAUUUUGUUUGGAAGCUGGAACAAGAGAGCUGCUGAUACUGUUUCAGUGGAUUCCUUUGUUGUGUUCUCUUCUCAAUUUGAAAACCAUAAGAAUUGCUACUCAAUAAAAAAAAUAACAGUUG